rnacentral:rRNA from 1 species
UGGGAAAUAUUGCACAAUGGGCGCAAGCCUGAUGCAGCCAUGCCGCGUGUAUGAAGAAGGCCUUCGGGUUGUAAAGUACUUUCAGCGGGGAGGAAGGGAGUAAAGUUAAUACCUUUGCUCAUUGACGUUACCCGCAGAAGAAGCACCGGCUAACUCCGUGCCAGCAGCCGCGGUAAUACGGAGGGUGCAAGCGUUAAUCGGAAUUACUGGGCGUAAAGCGCACGCAGGCGGUUUGUUAAGUCAGAUGUGAAAUCCCCGGGCUCAACCUGGGAACUGCAUCUGAUACUGGCAAGCUUGAGUCUCGUAGAGGGGGGUAGAAUUCCAGGUGUAGCGGUGAAAUGCGUAGAGAUCUGGAGGAAUACCGGUGGCGAAGGCGGCCCCCUGGACGAAGACUGACGCUCAGGUGCGAAAGCGUGGGGAGCAAACAGG